rnacentral:rRNA from 1 species
UGGGGAAUAUUGCACAAUGGGCGCAAGCCUGAUGCAGCCAUGCCGCGUGUGUGAAGAAGGCCUUCGGGUUGUAAAGCACUUUCAGCGGGGAGGAAGGCGUUAAGGUUAAUAACCUUGGCGAUUGACGUUACCCGCAGAAGAAGCACCGGCUAACUCCGUGCCAGCAGCCGCGGUAAUACGGAGGGUGCAAGCGUUAAUCGGAAGUACUGGGCGUAAAGCGCACGCAGGCGGUCUGUCAAGUCGGAUGUGAAAUCCCCGGGCUCAACCUGGGAACUGCAUUCGAAACUGGCAGGCUAGAGUCUUGUAGAGGGGGGUAGAAUUCCAGGUGUAGCGGUGAAAUGCGUAGAGAUCUGGAGGAAUACCGGUGGCGAAGGCGGCCCCCUGGACAAAGACUGACGCUCAGGUGCGAAAGCGUGGGGAGCAAACAGG